rnacentral:SRP_RNA from 1 species
AGCCAGCCAUGAUGCGUAGGCCAGUAGUCCCAGCUACUCAGGAGAUUGAGGCAGAAGGAUCGCUUGAGCCCAGGAGUUCUGGGCUGUAGUGCACUAUGGCCAAUCCGGUGUCUGUACUAAGUUCAGCAUCAGUAUGGUGACCUCCCAAGAACAGGGACCACCAGGUUGUCUAAAGAGAGGUGGACCAGCCCAGGCAGAAAAUGAAGCAGGUCGAAACUCCCAUGCUGACCAGCAGUGGGAUGGUGCCUGUGAACAGCCAGUGCACUCCAGCUUGGGCAACAUAGUGAGACCCUGUUUCU